UAUUUUAUAAAAAACACAGUAACUUUCCACAGRCAGGGGUUUCAGUCAGACCCAGGUACGAGUCCAGCCCAUCUGACCCGUCAGAACCGGCAGACUGAACCUGUCCAUCCGAGCCUUGUUCAGAAUCUACGGAGCACUGAAGAUCCAGAGCAGCUUUCGAGAUGGAGGCUUUUCAGCUUGAUCCAUUCCCCGGCACGUCACCUGACCCGACCGACUCAACCCGCCCGAACCAACCGUUACCUACACAGACAGACCUGGUCCGACCGAACCCUAUCCACACGUGUAGAGUACCAGCUCUCCGAGUGAGAAGGAGGACUCUCCGACGCAGAGCGGGCCCGUGCGGGUCUCUGUCAAGAAGAAGAAGAAGAACUGGAACAAGAAAUCAUUCAACCACCAUAGAUGAAUUGAAAAGUCACUGCCUUCUGACCAUCCUGCGUUUAACUGAACUCUGCAUAAGGUUGUUUGAAUAUUAGCUGAAAAAAUGUCUAGUUUGUCAAAUCAUGAUCAUACUGAAAUAAAUUGUUUUCAUGCGUUAGAACAGGCAUUACAAAAUCUUAUUCAGAAMUCUYCGUMAACCUCAGAAGCUGGUGACAUUUCCKUUCUGAGUCAAUCAUUACAAAAUGUUUUAAACAACGCUGAGCAGAAUUCACCCCCAGGUUCACCAAAUCAGACAGAAAGUCUAAUCCAAGCAUUACRUAACGAAAUUGCGGGACAGCAUCAACAACAACAACAACAACAGUCUGAUCGGGACCACUUCGAAACUCCUCAAAUUCACAGCACAAAUCCGGACCAGACUCCAAUCGGUCUACUCGUUAACGCUUCGAAUAAUUCAUUAUCUGAACUUAGAAACGCUCACGUCAGACAACAGUCUGAUCAGGAAAACGCUGCUGCUGCUGAUGAAAGUGCUCAAAAUAGCACACCCGACAACGGGCCAAUCAACGCACCCUGAUUUAUUUAGUAUUUUAGAUGAUGCGUUAUUAGCAUUACGAAUCGCGCGCUCCCCAGAACAAAACCGUGAACAAGACYCAGGCAUCCACCUGCAAAUCACCCCCACAGUUCAGUAUGAUGCUGAGGCGUCAUCUCCCGAAUCAACGCAACC